ACUGAGUCGUAGUCACAAAGGUAACCCGACGGAAAGCGUCCAACAAAAAUAAAAAUUCAGUGAAUGUAAGUAGAAAAAACUAUCGUUAGAAGGGCACUCUACUGCUACCCAGAAGUGAUCCUCAGUCUUAUGAUACAUGAAGCUGAGUGCAGGAGAAAAAUUUUAAAAGGGCGCAGAACUAUUUCAAGAUACUAUUACGAGGGUACAGCCAUACCAGCAUGGGCCAUCAUAGUUAUUGUUGGAGUAAUCAU